GGGAGUAACUGAUCGAAAGAUCAGCUAAUACCGCAUGAGACCUGAGGGUGAAAGCGGGGGAUCGCAAGACCUCGCGCGACAGGAGCGGCCGAUGUCUGAUUAGCUAGUUGGUGAGAUAAAAGCUUACCAAGGCGACGAUCAGUAGCUGGUCUGAGAGGAUGAUCAGCCACAUUGGGACUGAGACACGGCCCAGACUCCUACGGGAGGCAGCAUG
rnacentral:rRNA from 1 species